rnacentral:rRNA from 1 species
UGCCAGCAGCCGCGGUAAUACGGAGGAUGCAAGCGUUAUCCGGAUUCAUUGGGUUUAAAGGGUCCGCAGGCGGGAAAAUAAGUCAGUGGUGAAAGCCUACAGCUUAACUGUAGAACUGCCAUUGAAACUGUUUUUCUUGAGUAUAGAUGAAGUGGGCGGAAUAUAUCAUGUAGCGGUGAAGUGCAUAGAUAUGAUAUAGAACACCGAUUGCGAAGGCAGAUCACUAACAGUUCAUUGACGCUGAGGGACGAAAGCGUGGGGAGCGAACAGGAUUAGAUA